UACGGGGGGGGCAAGCGUUUGUUCGGAAUUACUGGGCGUAAAGGGCUCGUAGGCGGCCAACUAAGUCAGACGUGAAAUCCCUCGGCUUAACCGGGGAACUGCGUCUGAUACUGGAUGGCUUGAGAUUGGGAGAGGGAUGCGGAAUUCCAGGUGUAGCGGUGAAAUGCGUAGAUAUCUGGAGGAACACCGGUGGCGAAGGCGACUCUUUGGCCUGUAACUGACGCUGAGGCGCGAAAAGCGUGGGGGAGCAAACAGG
rnacentral:rRNA from 1 species